CGCCUGUUUAUCAAAAACAUGGCCCUUUGUUGUAUAGAGAUAAGGGGUCUGGCCUGCCCAGUGACAUAUGUUAAACGGCCGCGGUAUCCUAACCGUGCAAAGGUAGCGUAAUCAUUUGCCUAUUAAUUGUGGGCUAGUAUGAAUGGCUUGACGAGGGUGUAGCUGUCUCUUUGCGGAGUAUAUGGAAAUUAUUUUUUAAGUGAAGAAACUUAAAUGUGGCCGAGGGACGAUAAGACCCUAUCGAGCUUUAGUGGAAUUUUGAAGAUCAGGUUGUGCAAAGUUGUAGUUCUGGUAUUCAGGUGAAUCUUUGGUUGGGGCGAUCGAGAAGUAGAAAAAACCUUCUGUUUUAGUUAAUAACUUAUUGGUGGUUGAUCUGGCGUAUUAUGUAGAUAGAAAGAAUAAGUUACCGUAGGGAUAACAGCGUAAUCUUUCUGGAGAGUUCUUAUUGAAAGAAGGGUUUGCGACCUCGAUGUUGGACUAAGAUUUCCUAAGGGUGUAGCAGUUCUUGAGGGUUAGUCUGUUCGACUAUUAAAAUCUUACGUGAUCUGAGUUCAGACCGG
rnacentral:rRNA from 1 species